rnacentral:rRNA from 1 species
AUGACGGAAGGAAUGACAUGACGACGAGUGGAGAGACAGACAGGAGCGGAGAGUGAACGAAGGACAUGGCAUCGGUUAACCUUUGAUUUGUGGCUCGCCAAGGAUAACAGGUUCUUGAAUCCUAAGAGCUCCUACAAAAGGAUUCUGAUGGCACCUUCAUGUCGGUUCACCUCCC